rnacentral:lncRNA from 1 species
CAGAUUUCGUUUAACAUGCUAAUCGAUGAAUUCGAGCUAAAACAUGAUAUACAAAUGCUGAAAAUAUACAUGUCGAUUGCGCAUACACUUAGUAGGAGAAUCCGAUGAUUAACCUACCUCUAGUGCUUAAUCCACGACAGCAAGUGUCACGCCCCGGGGUCCCUUUUUGUUUGAAACACAGCGAAAAAGCGUAAAAUUUUUUUUUUAAAACCUGACCCCAGGGUAUGCCAGAUCUGCCACAAAUACAGAAAAUUCACUAUUCACACGGACAGAAUCUUCCCUGUAUUUGCACGGCGUCGCACAAGUACAACGAGUAAACCGGAUACAACCACAACUAAAUGAAUAUAGAGAUAACUAUACAUUCAUACAUUCACCAUUCACAUCCCAGAUUUACUUUCAAUGUCGAAACAUAAAUACACAGAAAACCCUUUUGAAAAUUGUUCCCUACACGAAAACUUUUAUCUUUUAAAAACGCUACCACGAGGGGUAGAAAACCUUUUAUUUACGAAAACCAUAAAUCCUUUUCAUUUCACAAAAUCCACAAAUCCAUUUAUUACAUUCAUGAAAAUCCACAUUUUCAAAUGUAAUAAAACUACUGAACCAUAUAAACUAUCUAAGCUAUAUCAACA